UACAGAGGUCUCAAGCGUUGUUCGGAUUCAUUGGGCGUAAAGGGUGCGUAGGUGGCAUGGUAAGUCGGAUGUGAAAUCCCGGGGCUUAACCCCGGAACUGCAUUCGAUACUGCUGAGCUAGAGUACUGGAGAGGAGAUUGGAAUUUUACGGUGUAGCAGUGAAAUGCGUAGAUAUCGUAAGGAAGACCAGUGGCGAAGGCGGAUCUCUGGACAGUUACUGACACUGAGGCACGAAGGCCAGGGGAGCAAACGGG
rnacentral:rRNA from 1 species